UACAUAGGGGACAAGCGUUAUCCGGAUUUACUGGGUGUAAAGGGUGCGUAGGCGGCAUGACAAGUCAGAUGUAAAAGACGGAUGCUUAACAACCGGAAUGCAACUGAAACUGUCAAGCUAGAGUAUAGGAGAGGUAAGCGGAAUUACUAGUGUAGAGGUGGAAUUCGCAGAUAUUAGUAAGAACACCAGUGGCGAAGGCGGCUUACUGGCCUAAAACAGACGCUGAGGCACGAAAGUGUGGGUAG
rnacentral:rRNA from 1 species